AAAGUCGUAACAAGGUUUCCGUAGGUGAACCUGCGGAAGGAUCAUUAUUGAAUAAACUUGAUGGAUUGUUGCUGGCUCCUCUCAGAGCAAGUGCACGUCUAUCAUUUUUAUCUUUCCACCAUGUGCACCAUGCAUAGACCUGAACGUUUUGCUGAUCAAAACAAAUGCUUUGAUUUCUGGGAAUUGCUGUUGCAGUGCGGCUUUUUCUGUGGUUCUGGUUCUAUGAUUUUUAUACACACCAAUGUAUGUUAAUGAACGUUAUAAUAGGCUCUAUGCCUUAUAAAUCUAUAAUACAACUUUCAGCAACGGAUCUCUUGGCUCUC
rnacentral:misc_RNA from 1 species